AACGCUGCGGCGUGCUUAACACAUGCAAGUCGAACGGGGACUUCGGUCCUAGUGGCGAAACGGGUGAGUAAAAGUGCAAAUAACCCUGGCCUCAAAGGUGGGGACAACAGCUCGAAAGGGUUGCUAAUACCGAAUGUUGUAUAGAAAGGGCAUCCUGAUUAUACUAAAGAUUUAUCGCUUUGAGAGGGGUUUGCAUCCGAUUAGGCAGUUGGCGGGGUAAAAGCCCACCAAACCGACGAUCGGUAACCGGUCUGAGAGGAUGAACGGUCACAUUGGAACUGAGACACGGUCCAGACUCCUACGGGAGGCAGCAGUGGGGAAUAUUCCACAAUGGAGGGAACUCUGAUGGAGCGACGCCGCGUGAGUGAAGAAGGGUUUAGGCUCGUAAAGCUCUUUUCUUGCAGAUGAAUGACUUAUUAGAUAAGUAGGGACAGUAUGUAAGGAAUAAGCCACGGCUAACUACGUGCCAGCAGCUGC
rnacentral:rRNA from 1 species